UUAACUGUAGUUGAUGUUAAAUCUCUCUCCAUUUUAUUUCCUGGUAACAGAGUGUCAUCCAUGUCAGAAAGGUUGGAUUGAGUUUCACACAAAGUGCUAUCUGUUCUUGGAAGGUUUAAUUUAUAAAACCUGGGAGCAGAGUCAGCAGUACUGCAAAAACAAAGCUGCAGAUCUGGUUACUGUCGAUAACUUGCAGGAACAGGAGUUUCUCAGUAAUCACAGUACCUACUACUAUGACGAUCAUCAUGGAUACUGGUUGGGCCUACGUGAAGUUAACAACAUUUGGCAAUGGCCUGAUGGACGCAACGACACUCUGGGGUACUGGAUGGAUCAACCUUUUGGUGGCUCUGGUCCAUACGUUCUGUUGAUCCCUGGAAGACCUCCAACAAAGAGCUGGGACACGUCAGAUGCUGCGUUUCUUAACAGAUUAAUAUGUGAGCAA